GAUGAAGAACGCAGCGAAAUGCGAUAAGUAGUGUGAAUUGCAGAAUUCAGUGAAUCAUCGAAUCUUUGAACGCACAUUGCGCCCCUUGGUAUUCCAUGGGGCAUGCCUGUUCGAGCGUCAUUUACACCCUCAAGCUCAGCUUGGUGUUGGGCGUCUGUCCCGCUUCGUGCGUGGACUCGCCCCAAAGGUAUUGGCAGCGGUCCUUGCCAGCUUCUCGCGCAGCACAUUGCGCUUCUCAAGGCUGGCGGAUCGGCGUCCAUCAAGCCCACUUCCACAGUUUGACCUCGGAUCAGGUAGGGAUACCCGCUGAACUUAAGCAUAUCAAUAAGCGGAGGA
rnacentral:misc_RNA from 1 species